rnacentral:lncRNA from 1 species
CAGUUAUCCUACUUAGAAUCUUAAUAGAAAUAUAUUUAUCAAAAGUACUUUUGGACAGUGAUUGUCAUCAGUUUAUUUUCUUUAAGUAAUGUAUGCUUUUGCAAUUUUCUGUCACAUUUUAAAAUGUCUAUUUCAUUUUUUAAUAAAGAUUUAAUUAGUUAAGAAUUAAAAACAUACAAGAAAGAUAACUUAUUAUAUGAGGGUGAAAAUUAAACAGAUAUCAUCAUCAGUUGCUGCAGCAGCAAAGACUGAACAGAAUUAUUAAAAAAACAAGUGGUUGUCCUAUAACAUUUCAUGUUUAGAUAGUUUCCAAGCAUUUGGAAGUUAUCAGCAUCCUGGAUAUUGACCGUUCUAUCCUUCUGAUUUCACUUAUACGUAUGUGUUGUGUGUGUGCAGAUGUCCAUAAAUGCUAUUCUAUAGAUAUUAUUUUUUCAUAAAAUUGACAGAACUGCACUUAUGGACAUCUGCAAUAAUUUUGAUGUCCCAUAAGACGACAACAUCCUUACCAUAUUUUCUCAGACAUAAGGCAGUAAGUAUUGGCUUGUUAAACAUAGCUUCUACUCUUUCCUAUAUUCCUUAUGAUGAUGAUCUUGCAAGUGUUAUUAAUGGUAUGCUAUAAAUCCUAUAUAUUGAUCUUUUUCUUUUAUCAUUGUAUAUUUAAUUAAACACAUUUGAAUUUUCUAAUUUCAGCAGCUCUUGUGUUGAUUAUACUACCAACCUAUUUGUUAUGAAUAAAGAAAAAGAUGCAAG